CGCAUAUAUGAUGGACAAAGACGGAGAGUUUCGCAA
rnacentral:sRNA from 1 species